rnacentral:tRNA from 1 species
UGGGGUGUUUCUCAAAGGUUGAGUAUUUGCUUUGCAAGUAAAAGGUUAUUGGUUCGAAUCCAAUCAUCUCCA